rnacentral:rRNA from 1 species
GUCUGUGGCCAUACGACCCUGAAUGCGCCCACUCUCAUCUGAUCUCAGAAGCUAAGCAGGGUCAGGUCGGCCUGGUUAGUACUUAAAUGGGAGAUUGCUUGGGAAUACUGAGUGCUGUAGACU